CGCUGACCCACAUGUCAUCGAGCAAGACCACAUCCGCAGGGCCUUCUCCUGGCCUGAGCAGCUCCCCUUCCCUCUCCGGCAACAAUUACCGCAAACCACCGCCUCCUCUCCGGCGGCAACCACAGCGGCGCCAUAGCUAGUCCGAACGCCAAUGUCCACCGCUGCCUCUGCGCUCCGCCCGGCGCCGCGGUGGGGUGCGCCGUCGCAGCGCCGGCUCGUGGAGCAGCACCUGGCGUCACUGCCCCACGGCCUCCAGCGCCUCCACCACGUGCAGGAGCUCCACGCGCAGCUCCUCAAGCACGGUAUCCACCUCGACCCGCUCACCGCCUCCAAGCUUAUCUCCUCAUACGCGCUCCAGCGCCGCCUCCCGGCCUCCCGCCGCAUCUUCGCCUCCUUCCCCAAUCCUCACGCCACCACCUUCCUCCCGAACACCCUUCUCCGCGCCUACGCGCUCAAUGCCCUGCCCCACGCUGCGAUCUCUGUCUUCUCCGCCAUGCCCCAGCGGGACAGCUUCACCUACUCCUUCCUCAUCAAGGCGCUCUCCUCAGCGGGCUUGACUCCCCUCAGGGCGGUGCACUCCCACGUCGUUAAACUCGGGUCCAUCGAGGACACCUAUGUCGGGAACGCGCUGAUCGACGCCUACUCCAAGAACGGCGGGUUUUUGGACGCCAGCAAGGUGUUCGAGGAAAUGCCUAGCCGGGAUACCGUGUCCUGGAACUCGGCCAUGGCUGCGAUGGUGCGACAGGGCGAUGUGGUAAGUGCGAGGAGGAUGUUUGACGAGAUGCCGGAGAAGGACACGGUAAGCUGGAACACCGUGCUAGAUGGGUACACCAAGGCUGGGAAGAUGGAGGAAGCGUUCGAGCUGUUUCAGUGCAUGCCAGAGAGGAAUGUGGUGUCGUGGUCGACGGUGGUGUCUGGUUACUGUAAGAAGGGUGACAUGGAGAUGGCUCGAGUGAUCUUUGAUAAGAUGCCAACGAAGAACUUGGUAACGUGGACGAUAAUGGUCUCGGCAUGUGCCCAGAAUGGGCUUGUUGAGGAGGCUGGACGGUUGUUUACUCAGAUGAAGGAAGCUGGUGUGGAACUUGAUGUGGCUGCGGUUGUGAGUAUCUUGGCUGCAUGUGCAGAGUCAGGCUCGCUUGCUCUUGGGAAGAGGAUUCACCGGUACGUGCGGACAAGGCAACUGGGGAGGUCGACCCAUGUGUGCAAUGCAAUGAUUGACAUGUUUUGCAAGUGUGGAUGUGUAAACCGGGCUGAUUAUGUCUUUGACACUGAAAUAGCUGAGAAGGAUUCAGUGUCAUGGAACACCAUAAUUGGGGGAUUUGCGAUGCAUGGGCAUGGAGACAAGGCGCUGGACUUCUUUGCCCAAAUGAAGCUACAAGGGUUCCGUCCUGAUGCUGUGACAAUGAUCAACGUUCUUAGUGCAUGCACACACAUGGGGUUUGUGGAAGAGGGACGCCGGUAUUUCAACAAUAUGGAGAGGGACUAUGGCAUUGUGCCACAGAUAGAGCAUUAUGGCUGCAUGAUUGACCUUCUUGGUCGUGGAGGGCUCAUCGAGGAGGCUGUUGACCUGAUAAAAAGCAUGCCUUGGGAUCCUAAUGAGGUAAUAUGGGGGUCCCUUCUCAGUGCAUGCCGACUGCACAAGAACGUGGAGUAUGCAGAAAUUGCAGUGAACGAGCUCAGUAAGCUGCAGCCCUCCAAUGCAGGGAACUAUGCUGUCCUUUCAAACAUCUAUGCAGAGGCUGGGCAGUGGAGUGACAUGGCAAAGGCAAGGAUGCAAAUGAAAGGAACCGGGUCUCAGAAGUCAGCAGGAUCAAGUUGGAUUGAACUUGAUGAGGCAUUCCAUGAGUUCACGGUGGGGGACAGAAAACACUCAGACUCGGACCAGAUAUCCGAGAUGGUUGAUAGGCUGAGUUCACAUGUUAAGGAUGUUGGCUGCCUUCCAACAGCUCAUGAGCUGCUUGUGCAGUGAGUCCUUUGCCAAGGGUGUGCUAAAUCUCAUGUUGCAGUCACAAAUGUGAAAUGCUUCCGUGAGGUGCUAGCAUUGCACGGUGCAAUCUAUGUAAGCAAGCACCGGCUCCAGUGAAUCCUGCAAUCAAGAAGAUGCUGUGACGUGGUACAGAAUUACCCACGAUGGACUGUAAACCCAGACAUGUGUUCAAGCAUUUCUCAGCAUGUGCUCUUCUGCCAUCAGCAAGGCAAUCGAAAAUCAAAUGUAUCUUCUUUUAGAGAGACCAUGCUGAUGCUGGGUGACACACCCUGAAGCACAUCCUACCAAGCCACAAACAUAUAGCAAGUCAUAUCACCCUGCAAUGGUCAAAUUAUCUAGCAAAUGCACCAAAGUACACCAGCUCAACGAGAUCACAGUACACAACACAAAUCAUAAUGCACAAUAAGGCCCUGUUUGGAACGAAGGAAAAACAUAGGAAUUUUGGAGGGUAUGAUUCCUGUAGGAAAUAUUUCUUUGGUACCGUUUGGAACAAAGGAAAAGCUAUCCCUACAAUUCUUUGAAAUUCCUAUGGAUUGAGCUAUUUCAUAGAAAUUUUUGGAGGACCUCAUGUUUUCUUCUCCUUGUGUCUAGAUUCCUGUGAAUUUCCUGCAUGACAUCCAAAUGAGAGUUUUGGAGUUUUCCUGUAAUCCAGGAUACAUGGCAUCCAGGAUUCUCCAGUUUAGGUAUAGUUUUCAGAUGCAAUUGGCUCUGGCUGCACUUUC